GGACUACCCGGGUUUCUAAUCCUGUUUGAUCCCCACGCUUUCGUGCCUCAGUGUCAAUCAUAGUGUAGCGAGCUGCCUUCGCAAUAGAUGUUCUAUGUCAUAUCUAAGCAUUUCACCGCUACAUGACAUAUUCCGCUCACCUCCACUACAUUCAAGACAGAUAGUAUCAACGGCAGUUUCUGGGUUAAGCCCAGAGAUUUCACCACUGACUUACCUGCCCACCUACGCACCCUUUAAACCCAGUGAAUCCGGAUAACGCUUGCACCCUCCGUAUUACCGCGGCUGCUGGCAC
rnacentral:rRNA from 1 species